CCUCGUUAAGGAACUCGGCAAAAUGUAUCCGUAACUUCGGGAAAAGGAUAACCCAGAGUAGGUGAAGGGCAGAAACGGCCGGAGCCGAAAUGGGUGGCACAAGAGAGGCCCAAGCGACUGUUUAGCACAAACACAGGCGUCUGCGAAAGAGAAAUCUGAAGUAUAGAUGCUGACACCUGCCCGGUGCUGGAAGGUUAAGAGGACGUGUGAGCCGCAAGGCGAAGCAGAGAAUUGAAGCCCCAGUAAACGGCGGCCGUAACUAUAACGGUCCUAAGGUAGCGAAAUUCCUUGUCGGGUAAGUUCCGACCCGCACGAAAGGCGUAACGAUUUGGGCACUGUCUCAACGAGGGACCCGGUGAAAUUGAAAUACCUGUGAAGAUGCAGGUUACCCGCGACUGGACAGAAAGACCCCAUGGAGCUUUACUGCAACCUGAGAUGGGAUUUGGGUAUAAGACGUACAGGAUAGUUGGGAGGCGUGGAAGUGAGGACGGCAGUUUUCACGGAGCCGACGGUGGGAUACCAACCUUGUUGUACUGAAAUUCUAACGAGAGCCGUAACGAGGCUUCGGACAGUCUCAGGCGGGCAGUUUGACUGGGGCGGUCGCCUCCGAAAGAGCAACGGAGGCGCCCAAGGGUUCCCUCAGCGCGGACGGAAACCGCGCGCAGAGUGUAAAGGCAGAAGGGAGCUUGACUGCGAGACGGACAGGUCGAGCAGGGACGAAAGUCGGGCUUAGUGAUCCGGUGGAAGAGAGUGGAAUUGCCAUCGCACAACGGAUAAAAGCUACCCUGGGGAUAACAGGCUUAUCUCUCCCAAGAGUCCAUAUCGACGGGGAGGUUUGGCACCUCGAUGUCGGCUCAUCACAUCCUGGGGCUGAAGUAGGUCCCAAGGGUUGGGCUGUUCGCCCAUUAAAGUGGUACGCGAGCUGGGUUCAGAACGUCGUGAGACAGUUCGGUCCCUAUCCAUCGCGGGCGGAAGAAACUUGAAAGGGGCUGCUCCCAGUACGAGAGGACCGGAGUGGACGAACCGCUGGUGUAUCGGUUAUGCCGCCAGGCGUACAGCCGAGUAGCUACGUUCGGGACGGAUAAACGCUGAAAGCAUCUAAGCGUGAACCCGGCCUAAAGAUGAGGUUUCUCCUUGCAAGACAAGUAAGGCCCCAUGAAGACGACAUGGUAGAUAGGCCGGGAGUGGAAGUGCAGCGAUGCAUGGAGCGGACCGGUACUAAUAGGCCGAGGACUUAACUUA
rnacentral:rRNA from 1 species